ACUCCUACGGGAGGCAGCAGUGAGGAAUAUUGGUCAAUGGAGGGAACUCUGAACCAGCCAUCCCGCGUGUAGGAAGACGGCCUUAUGGGUUGUAAACUACUUUUAUACAGGAAGAAACGUACCCUCGUGAGGGUGCCUGACGGUACUGUAGGAAUAAGCACCGGCUAACUCCGUGCCAGCAGCCGCGGUAAUACGGAGGGGUGCGAGCGUUAUCCGGAUUUAUUGGGGUUUAAAGGGUCCGUAGGCGGAUUAAUAAGUCAGUGGUGAAAUCCCAUCGCUUAACGAUGGAACUGCCAUUGAUACUGUUAGUCUUGAAUGAGGGUGCAGUGGUUGGAAUGUGUAGUGUAGCGGUGAAAUGCAUAGAUAUUACACAGAACACCGAUUGCGAAGGCAGAUCACUAACCCUAAAUUGACGCUGAGGGACGAAAGCGUGGGGAGCGAACAGGAUUAGAUACCCUGGUAGACUGUCA
rnacentral:rRNA from 1 species